UGUUCGAGCGUCAUAUAACACAACUCGCGCUCAGCGCGGUAUUGGGCUCGCCCUGUAGGGCCUGCCUCAAAAUCAGUGGCGGCACCGUCUGACCCUAAGCGUAGUAAUACUCGUCGCUUCUGGGCUUGGCCGGCUGCUUGUCAGCAACCCCCACCUUUUAGGUUGACCUCGGAUCAGGUAGGGAUACCCGCUGAACUUAA
rnacentral:misc_RNA from 1 species